AUGGAAUUUCACAACAGAUACGCUGGUUUUAGAAUCAGGAAGAUGGGAGGGAAUGACAAUCACAAGUAUUUUGUUUGUGUGUUCCAAGGGGAACACACAACUUAUCUUUCCGAGGCUGACAGGAAGCGAAACAAAACAUCACAGAGGACAGGCUGCAAUGCAAGAGUGAGGGUGAAGGUGCAGGAGGAUAACACAUGUGUGGUAGUGGACAUUGAGUACAAUCAUAAUCACCACCUCAUGCAAACUGAUGACAUGCUGGUAUUCUUGCACUCACACAAGAAUUAUGAUCCCACUAUUCUGGAGUACAUAAAGCUCCUGCAGUACCAUGAUGUCAAGCAUAUAAUAAUCAUGUCCAUGCUAUCCGAAAAUGAAGAUGGAAGCUACUUCCUAAGCAUGACCGGACGAGACCUACUACACCAGAAAUAUAGUUAUGUAUGUGAAGUUCAAGCACUGGUACCUUGGAAGUUCAACAACAUUGAUUGCCUGUUGAUGGCGAAAGCUAUACCACAAUCAUUCCCAAACACGGUCCACAAGCUAUGCCGUUGGCACAUCCUGAAAAAGUUCAUGGAAUACCUCGUGUUGCUGUACAAAAAGUAUAAAACAUUCAAAGAGGAGUUCACAACAAUCUUAAAAUGGUCGCUAAUGCCAACGAAGUUUGAAGCUGCUUCGGCUCAAGUCAUGCAAAAGUACAACCUGCAGAACGAACAGAUGAUGAUGAAGCUGUGGAAUGAUAGGAAAAUGUGGAUAUCAGCAUAUUACAAGAACAUUUUCUAA
rnacentral:rRNA from 1 species